CCUAAAACAUAGUCAGUAAUCAAUUAGUUCUAAUUAUUGUCUUGUUAUUGGUUUGCUGGGAAAAACGGAGUCUUCAAAUGAGGAAAAAAACAAGAACAGUGUGAAGCAGAAAGUGAGUGGAACAAACGGUGAGUCCUAGGAAAUUUUGGAAAAGAAGGACUGAGAAGGCUUCAAAGAGGUUGAAAUUGGUCUGGAACCAGAAGGAAUUAGUAGAAUUUAGAUAAUUUGAUCUGGGAGAGUUCACAUUUUUCUUCAAUUUGAGGGAGGCUGUUAGCAGAAAGAGAAUUGAGCUAGGGAUUAGAAGAAAACGUCUUUUUGUUUUCUACCUUUACCCAGCGUGAGCUUGGGCAAACCACUGAGCCUUGAUUUCCUUGAUUGUAAAACUGGGACAGAGAGACUAUCUGCUCCGCCUAGUUUUCAGGGUUGUUAUAAGGCACAAAUGAGACAAUUCAGGUAAAAAUGCUUUGAAAAUGGUAAAAUAUAACAACACAAGAGUAAGGUCAUUAUUAGAUUCUUAAAAGAAGAUCCCAGAAAAAGUCUGAGCUGCCCAAGACUAUAAUUACCUAUACUGUAUGGCCCAGUGCUUUAGAAGAGUCACUGACAGCUGUAGUAAGGUCAUAACCUACCGCUGACACAUCCACCCUGACUGUGUUGACUACUCACCUUAUCCAAGUACAGAGAAUGUUCUUUGGAUUCUCCAUUCUGAGUACCUAGCCAGUUGUUAAGUUCCUCAAACAAUAAUCACCACCACUACAAUAAUAGUAAACAGCCACUACUGUUUAUUUGGCACUUAUAAUACAUUAGACACUCUGCUAAAUACUUUACAAACUUUAUCCCACUUAGUUUGCAAAUAACAUCACAAAGCAGCUAUUUAUUAUUGAAUCCAAUUUACAGAUGAUUAAGUUGAGGCUUAGAGAAAUAACUUGCCUUGUCUCCUUUAGCUAGUAAAUGACAGAGCUGAAUUUAACUGAAACUUCUCUUGGACUCCAGCCCUCUGUGCCAUUUUGCUUUUAAUCUAAGAAAAAAUGUUUUCCCCCACGAGACCUUGUGCUGGAUUUCCCAUUUAGAAUUAACCACGUGGAUGAAUUAAAUGAAUCAAGUGGUUAGUUAACAUUCAGCUUAUUACUUACAGAUUUAUCCCUUUCUUUCUAGCUCUGUUGUUAGACAAUUUAGACCCCACAGUAUUUCCCCAGUUAUGACUACAUUUGUAGGCCAGAGACUGUCCACUGUGACAGUAAGAAUAAUCCCUUGUAUUUGUCCUAGUCUUAGUAUAUUCACUGUGUUUCAUUUGAACACCACAAUAAGUGCUUUAAGGGAUAUUAUUUCUGUUUUACUCAUGAGGAACUGAUGCUAAGGGAAGUCAAGGAAUUUGCCCAAAUUCCCAGCUAAUAGAUGAGAGCGCUCUAUGUUUGUCUGAACCAUUACGACUAUUACUAAUUGACAGAAUAGCAGAGAUUUGGAGCGUUUCUAAUAUCCUGUGUAUGAUGUACAACAUGAAACAAUAAGAAUAUUUUCUAUGAAGAACUUUGGAAUGCAGUGAUGUGAUGUUCAGAGUCAUUAAAUAUUUGUGCUUAAAAUUAUUUUUAUGUCACAUACAUUCAAAUAUCUAAACCCUGAAACUUACUAGCAAACAAAAUGCAAGGUUUAUUCUUGAGUAAUAAGGCUAGAAUUGAAGGAAAGAAGGAUAAACUAUUAAAUUCUUAUCAUGGCACAAAGGUCUUUGAAUAUCCAAUGUUAAACUCUUCUACAUUUAAUAGGAAUUUUGCUAUGAAUCUUCAGUCCCUAGGGUACAUUUCCUGUCUGUGCCUGUCAGCUUCAUUGUUACGUAUUUUAAAUAAAGCUUUCCCUAACAUUCAAAACUCCUUCCGGCCCUUCCUUUUAGGAAGCAGACAUAAAUAAAGUGCACAGUAUGCCUUUGCGUUUUUGUUUUCUUUUACCUUUUCCUAACCAUGUGCCCACCCCACCCCCAAUCUUCUGAAGUGUAAAACUAAGGUAAAAAGGGCUUUUAAAAAAGGGCUCUGGGGAUGUAUGCAAAUGACAGAAAUGUCUAUGGGAAAAUUAGGGGAAAAGAAAUUCAGCAAGAAAGAAAUUCAUUGAUGUUGUGAUGAAACGUUGUCACUGGAGAUGAUGACAAAUUAGAAUCCGUUCCCAUGGGGACCGCGCGCUACCUACUGAUCAUUUGACCCAUGGCUGGAUGUUGGCUAGCCUGAGAAUUGACCCAAAAGAUGACAAGAUGGUUUUAGUCCUGUUGUCUCAUCAGCAUUCAGGAACCCCUUAGGGGGGUGAAGGGGAAAGGAUAAAGAAGGAUAAAAGAUGAAAGCUGAGCUGUGGAAAGAAAAAUGUUUUUAAUUACACUGAGGAGGAUUGUGGGUCCACCUGUAGCUUUCUUUUGAGAAUGUCUUUGUUUUCUUCUGUCUGCAGGGAUCAUGGCAGGAUACAGACCCAGAAUCUGUCUGGUCUCUUGGAAGGUUCUACAUUGGUCAGUCGGUCCUCUUCAGUUUAUUGGAUACAUUCAGGAUUAACCUCUCUGUGGGCUAUCUUUACUCUGAGAUUCUGUUAUGCUUGCCAAGCAACCUGGGUUUAGUUGGCGUGCUAAAAGAGAUUGCUUUUAGAGGGAGGAAAAAAAGAUCGCAAUAGUGGAGCAUGAGAUGAGGUUUCUAUAGUGUGUCACUAUCACAUUCCUCGUCAGAAGGACACAGGGAGCUCAUGUCAGGCAGUGAGGUGGAGGGAGGCAAGAGCACCCCCUGGUAGUCAAGAGACUUUUAAGCUCCAGAUGCCUUGUUUCUUCACUUGUAAACUGGGAAUCACAAUGUUCUUUUACUAUCCUAUGAUGGUAGAUAAGUAAGGUGAAAUUCUUUAGGAAAAUACUGAAUUCUGAAGAAAAGGAACAAUACAACCACUCUGUUCUCUUUCCAGGUUACUAACAAAGCAACUAAACCCCCUUGGAUAAUUUGAACAAUUUAAAAUAGUUGAAUGUAAUUUAUUCCACAGUACUCAGGUAAUAUUAGGUAGGCAUCGGUUUGGUGGGGUUUUUUUGAUAGGGGGGAUUCUUCAUAAUAAAUUUGGUCAUAUCCUUCCCACCCCGUUUCUCGGGAGGUAGGGACAGGGUAUCACAGGGUGGAGUGCAGUGGCACAAUCAUG